rnacentral:rRNA from 2 species
UGACCUCGGAUCAGGUAGGAUUACCCGCUGAACUUAAGCAUA